GGGGAUAUAGCUCAAGAGGUAGAGCACGUGCUUAGCAUACACAAGGUUCUGGGUUUAAUCCCCAGUACCUCCU
rnacentral:tRNA from 1 species